rnacentral:sRNA from 1 species
CUUGGUCAUUUAGAGGAAGUAAAAGUCGUAACAAGGUCUCCGUUGGUGAACCAGCGGAGGGAUCAUUACCGAGUUUACAACUCCCAAACCCCUGUGAACAUACCUUAAUGUUGCCUCGGCGGAUCAGCCCGCGCCCCGUAAAACGGGACGGCCCGCCAGAGGACCCAAACUCUAAUGUUUCUUAUUGUAACUUCUGAGUAAAACAAACAAAUAAAUCAAAACUUUCAACAACGGAUCUCUUGGUUCUGGCAUCGAUGAAGAACGCAGCAAAAUGCGAUAAGUAAUGUGAAUUGCAGAAUUCAGUGAAUCAUCGAAUCUUUGAACGCACAUUGCGCCCGCUGGUAUUCCGGCGGGCAUGCCUGUUCGAGCGUCAUUUCAACCCUCAAGCCCCCGGGUUUGGUGUUGGGGAUCGGCUCUGCCUUCUGGCGGUGCCGCCCCCGAAAUACAUUGGCGGUCUCGCUGCAGCCUCCAUUGCGUAGUAGCUAACACCUCGCAACUGGAACGCGGCGCGGCCAUGCCGUAAAACCCCAACUUCUGAAUGUUGACCUCGGAUCAGGUAGGAAUACCCGCUGAACUUAAGCAUAUCAAUAAGCGGAGGAAAAGAAACCAACAGGGAUUGCCCUAGUAACGGCGAGUGAAGCGGCAACAGCUCAAAUUUGAAAUCUGGCUUUCGGGCCCGAGUUGUAAUUUGUAGAGGAUACUUUUGAUGCGGUGCCUUCCGAGUUCCCUGGAGCGGGACGCCAUAGAGGGUGAGAGCCCCGUCUGGUUGGAUGCCAAAUCUCUGUAAAGUUCCUUCGACGAGUCGAGUUGUUUGGGAAU